rnacentral:lncRNA from 1 species
GUUAGCUAUCAGUUCAGCACAUCAUUUCUGGAAGCCACGACAGAAGAACGUAACCUUGGUCAAACCUCGAAGUUUGGGACAAGAUGCAUCCCGUAUGCAGUGUGAAUAGAGUGCUUCUAGGGAACUGGUUUGCAGACUGUCUGUGUUUCUUCUGGGCACAUCUCCACUUACAAGACAGAGGUGCUACAAGGCAAAAGAUGGAAACAAAGAAUGAUGAGAUUGCUG